CUCCGAUCUUUGGUGCAGUGAAAAAAAGACGAUCUAUUUUAUCUACAGUUCCUAUUUCACAUUACCUCUUGUUUCCAAAUGCUUUUAACAGCCAUAGGAGAUAACAGUUAAGAUAAUGCAGUCGUAAAAGAGAAAUGUUUAAAUCCCUUAAAGGCACAGACUUUCUUUCUAUUCAAUUUUAUCAGCCCGUGUAUUCUAAACUUUUUCACCAGGGAUAUCAUAC